rnacentral:rRNA from 1 species
GCCGGCAGCUAACUCUCUGCAACUCUCACAUGGUCGCCCACUGAAGCUAAGCAGGGCUGUGCCCGGUCAGUAUUUGGAUGGGAGACCACAUGGGAAAGCUACGUUGCUGCCGGAA